GAUGAAUGCUAGCUACAGGCUUAACACAUGCAAGUCGAGGGGAAACGACAUCGAAAGCUUGCUUUUGGUGGGCGUCGACCGGCGCACGGGUGAGUAACGCGUAUCCAACCUUCCCAUGUCCACGGGAUAGCCCGUCGAAAGGCGGAUUAAUACCGUAUGAGGUCACAUGCGGGCAUCUAAGUGUGACGAAAGGUUUUGCGGACAUGGAUGGGGAUGCGUCCGAUUAGCUGGUUGGCGGGGUAACGGCCCACCAAGGCGACGAUCGGUAGGGGUUCUGAGAGGAAGGUCCCCCCACAUUGGAACUGAGACACGGUCCAAACCU
rnacentral:rRNA from 1 species